UACGUAGGCAGCGAGCGUUGUUCGGAAUUACUGGGCGUAAAGGGCGCGUAGGCGGCCUACUAAGUCGGACGUGAAAUCCCUCGGCUCAACCGGGGAACUGCGUCCGAUACUGGUGGGCUCGAAUCCGGGAGAGGGAUGUGGAAUUCCAGGUGUAGCGGUGAAAUGCGUAGAUAUCUGGAGGAACACCGGUGGCGAAGGCGGCAUCCUGGACCGGUAUUGACGCUGAUGCGCGAAAGCCAGGGGAGCAAACGGG
rnacentral:rRNA from 1 species